rnacentral:rRNA from 1 species
UACGUAGGGACCAAGCGUUGUCCGGAAUCAUUGGGCGUAAAGAGCGUGUAGGCGGCUUGUUAAGUCUUGCGUGAAAUCUCGGGGCUCAACCCCGAGCGGCGUGAGAAACUGGCAGGCUAGAGUGCGGGAGAGGAGAGUGGAAUUCCUGGUGUAGCGGUGAAAUGCGCAGAUAUCAGGAAGAACACCCGUGGCGAAGGCGGCUCUCUGGAACGCAACUGACGCUGAGGAGCGAAAGCGUGGGGAGCGAACAGG